rnacentral:misc_RNA from 1 species
AACUGAUACUACCUGCGGGAACCUGCGGAGGGAUCAUUACCAGGCAUCGUCAUGACCUCCCCGACAAGGGGUGGUCGGAGUGACGUAUGUACCCCCAUCCUUGCAUAUUGACCUAGUUGUCUGGGCGGCGUCUUUGGGGUCUUUCAGGCCUCUCCGACCCGCCCGGAGGAUCUACCCUGACGCUGGCUUGACAUUGAGGACUCUGAGCCCAUCGGGAACUAGAAUGAAACAGUUCAAAAC